UAAGACGUAGGGCGCGAGCGUUGUCCGGAUUUAUUGGGCGUAAAGAGCUCGUAGGCGGCUUGUCGCGUCGACUGUGAAAACCCGCGGCUCAACUGCGGGCUUGCAGCCGAUACGGGCAGGCUAGAGUUCGGUAGGGGAGACUGGAAUUCCUGGUGUAGCGGUGAAAUGCGCAGAUAUCAGGAGGAACACCGGUGGCGAAGGCGGGUCUCUGGGCCGAUACUGACGCUGAGGAGCGAAAGCGUGGGGAGCGAACAGGAUUAGAUACCCUGGUAGUCCACGCUGUAAACGUUGGGCGCUAGGUGUGGGGGGCCUCUCCGGUUCUCUGUGCCGCAGCUAACGCAUUAAGCGCCCCGCCUGGGGAGUACGGCCGCAAGGCUA
rnacentral:rRNA from 1 species